rnacentral:lncRNA from 1 species
UAAGUGAUACGAUGAUCAUCUUGACAAAUGCGCAGUGUCCUAACGCCAUCGAAAGAGCCAUCGUCCCAAACACGUCCCUCUGUACCACCUUGAGCAUCCAGCUUGUAAAGAGGGAAAGGCGUGGUCAGAGAGUCUAGUACAAGGUAAACUCCAAGAGCGUCAAUAGCAUUAUCCGACCGUCCAUGAAAACCUACGAUCUUCUUUCCCUCGUCCUCAAACUUGAACUUUGUACCAUUAACAACUCCGAACAAGUUUGGACCAAACGUUGGAGACGUUCUACCCUUUGAGGUCCUGAAGACAAGGGAGGUGAUCACCUCCGUGGCUAUCAGAGCCACUUUGUUGUAGCUUCCCUCCACCGCUGUGAUGUGUUCAUCCGGAUAUUCAAUUAUAAACUGCACUUGAAAAUUUCAUUUAUUCAAUCAAGCAAUUAAAUUACACAAACAAAGAAAAUAUAAUUGACAGGAGUUUGUAGUGUAGUGUGGUUUAUUCUCAUACCUAUCUAAUUAUCAUCAACUGGAAUAAGGUUAGAAAUCAAUCUAAUUUAAUAUAGUAUUAGAGUUCGAUCCACACCCAAUCUAUAAUCGAUUCAGCACAAAAUUAGUUUAUUUUUCUUUGUACAAAGAUUUUGAGAUUAAUUAUCAAAAAGUUAUCAUUUCGAAGGGCAUAUUAUAUAUAUAUAUAUUCCGACAUGAGAAAUUAGAAAAAAAAAUAUUAAUUAGUUUCUCCAUUUCAUUUUAAUAGUCAUUUUAGAUUUAUGAAAAUAGAUUAAGAAAAUAAUUAAUUUGUAUAUUUUAAAAUAAAAAUAUCAUUAUUUAUGCAUUUAACCACAUUUCCAUCAAUAUAAAAAUAGAUGAGAAAAUAUAAAAAAUCAUAUAGCAUAUAAAGUUCAUAAAUUUUCUAUUAAAAUUUUAAAAUAGCACUUAUUUAAACACAAAUUUUUUAUUUUACAACUAUAACUAAAAUGAAAUGGAUGAAAUAAUUAAGAGAAAUGAACCGGUUUAGUUAACCCCAGUUGAUUUUCGAUUGACAAUAUGUAACUUAAUACAGUAUAUAUAAUAUUAUUACUUCCUCAAAUAAUAAUUCCCAAUGCACAUGUGUUACUUGUAGACGGGGAAAACGCGACAUGAAACUUUUGGUUCAGAAAACUAAAAAUGUGAAAAGUGAAGGGUAAAUGCAGUAGAGAACCUCUUUAGGGUCUUGAGUUAUGGUCCCAUAUUCACGUGUUACCACUUCCCCGUCUUCCUUCACGUACUCGAAUUUGACGUAAGUGAUACGUGAGAGAUCUUGCCCAACAUACACUUUUCUUAUACCCUCAUAUACAUCGUCGUCCCAUUCACGCCCACCUUCACCACCGCACAUCUUCCCCAUUUCGAAUCUUCAAAUCCUGUAAUAAAUGAAAAUAAAGAAUUAUAUUAUUUUAUAUAUAUUUAUAUUAAUUUGAUGUUUUAGAAAAUAUUAAAUCGAUUUUAAAAAGACAUACUGUUACCAAUUUAAAUACUAAACAAAUAAUAACUACGAAGAAAAACGGUGAUCAAGUAUGCAAAGCUUUAUUGGCAGUACAGUAAUAAAAUGAUAACAUAGUAGUAGCAUAUUCUAGCAAGAACACCAAAAUGGUCCGACAAUCACAUAUAGAUAAUCAAUCGAUGGUUAAUAUUUAUAUACAUAGUGCGAUUUAUAAUCUUAAGAAACGGUGAACUUAAAGUAUAAUAUCGAACAAAAGCCCCCAAUAUAUAGCUGACUUAAAACGUAAUCACACACUUCUCACUGUUUGUUGAGAUAUCCUGCACAAAACAUUCCUCUCUCUUCUCUUAUCUUUUUCUCUAAAACGAUCUCUUAAGAUAUUCAGUGAUAUUCAUGUCUUGCAAACGUUCUACACAUGUAUGAUUAUAGUAACUAAUUAUUAUAAUCUGAAAUGAAAUAGAUAAGGGAUAAUCAUUGAUGCAUUAUCCCGGCUACCAAAAUGGAAAAGAAGAGACUGAGAGAGAGAGAGAUAACCAGGAAAGUCUUGAGAUCUGAUUGAGAAUGAAGGCGAUGAACCUUAUGGUAGAUGACAUAUGUGUAUUUAUUGACGCUUGAGUUGAAAAUUGAAAUCAACACAUGUUUCACGACUCAUCAAGGACUGUCAACAAUUGCAAUAAUUGUUUUUGAUAGGAGUCCAUAACAAGUUACAAGCACAAUAUAUAUUGAAAUAUGUGUAAAUUCUUGAGAUCUCAUUGAGAAUGAAAGGCAAUGAACCUGAACCUUAUGUAUGUUCAAAUGUGUUGUAUUUGUUGACUCUUCUAGUUGCAACCACCACAUGGUUCACGACUACGAAGGACUGUCACAAUUGCGAUAAUUGCUUUUGAUGAGUCCAUACUCCAUAACCAGCUCAAUAUAUAUAUUGCUACAAUAAUAAAUAUAAUGUAUUGUAUAAAUAUAAAUAAGAACAAAAAGUUUAUAUCCACAAAAAUAUUAAAAAUGAAAAGAAAGAGACAAGAACUUUUUUUAAGAAGAAAGGGUUAAGAUAAAAAAAAAUCUUUGUAAUUGUGUGACUUUCGUUGUUGUGUGUUUUAGAUUUUCAUAAUACUUUUUGAAAACCCGUGUUAUUGUCUUUUGCUUUUUUUCAAACAUCUUUAUUGAUCUGUUAAAAAGUUUUCUAAAAAAAAUCCAAAUGAAAAAUUAUAGUCCUUACAAAAAGAGUAUAACCACACAAUUUCUCUUCUCGAAUGAUCAUGCUGUAUCGCUUAGAUCUUGUAAAUGCAAACAUCUAAUGUUAUAGACAUGCAUACUAAACAUAAUAGUGGGUGAUCCUAUCAAAUAAUAGUGUUGCAUUAUCACUUCUGAUAUCCUUUCUCGAUUUGAAAAACAAAUACAACGUUGUCUUCAUAAAAAGAGCCAAAAAUAGUUAGCUCUGUGGAUCUUAUUGAUAGAUCGGAUCGGAUGUGUCAGUUUACUUUAGUGCAGAAUCAAUAUGGUUUGAAAAUGUGGCCACAAAAUUCUGAUAUUGACCACACUAUUAAAUAAUGAUUUCUCGCUCCUUGUUCAACUAAGACCAUCUCCAACUCACCUCUAUUUUUAUCUCUAUAUUUUUCUCUAAAAUAGAGAAACUCUAUUAUAAAGGUGGAUUUGCUCCAAUGUAUGCUUCUAUAAUAGAGUUCCUCUAUUUACAGAAAAAAAUAUAGAGAUUUGUUAUUUUCAUCUCUAAAUAUAAAGGUAAAAAAUAGGAUUCCUCUAUAUUUUCCUCUAAAAUAGAGGAAUUCUAUUAUAGAGGCAUACAUUGGAGCAAAUCCACCUCUAUAAUAGAGAUUUCUAUUUUAGAGGAAAAUAUAGAAAUAUACAUUGGAGAUGCUCUAAUACAAUAUUUUUUGAGUGAUUGCUUUUCCCAGAGAAAAUGGGUUGUAAAUUGUAAUAUUAAAUAAUACCUUUUUCGGUUGUAAUAUCUUUGUAACUCGUAAGGAUUAAAUAAAGAAAAAAUAAAUCUUAUAAUACAUAUUACAAAGAAUAAACCACAUGUGGGAGGGAGGACCAACGGAGUUGCAAUACGUCCCCAAACAAUAUCCUAUUUUUAUAUUCCCUGUACAGAUGAGAUAACACAGAUAAUUAUUAGUUAGUCUAGUUUUUGAAUCUUCGGAAGAUUUAAAUUCCCAACUUUUAUUUUUAUUUAUAAUUGAACAAUCACUUGCACACUCAAGUUUACUCUUCAUUCAUCUAGCAGAACAGAAAGGAACUUGUAGGAAUAAAACAACAAUGAAAGUAGCGAAAUAAAGAAAACACACACCGGCCUUAUUAACAAUUUUAUUCAAUCAAUAUAACUGGCUGGUUUUGUUUUAUUAAGAUAAUAGAAGGCCUUUUCACUCGACUGAGGUGAUGGGCACGACAUAGACUCCAAUACUGUGGAGAACAUCACUAGCUUGUCCAUAAAACCCGACGAUCUUGUGGCCACUUUCCCCGAGAGUGAACUUCUCACCGUAAUUCAAUUCAUAAUCAGGUGAAUCCCUUUUGUUUGUGUUGACUAUAUCUAUAUAACGAAUGGCUCCUCGACUCUUAUCAUAGUAGCCUCCCAAGCUCAAGAGAUAUUCAUCAUCCUCAAGAACUAACUGAACAAACUCAAGAAUAAGAAAGAUUAAAUGUAAAUAUAAUUUAGCGAAGUAUAAUUUAAACAAGAAAAAUCUUGUUGUUUUCAAAAUUGACCUCUGAAGCUUCGGGUAAUGUCUGCCCAUGUUCAUCUCCAGAUACCAACUCUGUUCCCUUAAUGUAAUCAAACUUAACAUAGGAUACAACGUCGUAACAUUGUCCUAUAGAUAUCUUCCUUACACCGUUGAAAGCACCAUCAUCCCAUUUAACUCCUCCGUUGCCGCCUACCAACGGUAGUUUCUUGGUUGGAAUCAAAGGAGUAGGAGCUUGAAUAGGUGCAAAAUAUGCUCCUAGAGCAUCAAUGGCGUCACCUUCUUUUCCAUGGAAUCCGACAAGUCGAAGAUCCUUUUGCUCAAGAACAAACUUCUUACCCACUUUAUACCCAAUGAAUGAUGUUCUCUCACUUGAUGUUUCGAAGGUAAAUGACGUGAUGACAGUAUUUUGGAAAAGUUUUGGCUUAUCAUAGGUUACUUCCACCGACUUGAUGUAUUCAUUCGGGUAAUCAAGCAAAAGCUGAAAAAAGAAUCAAAACUUAAGAAAGUAAAAAUAUUUAAGGAGUAAUUAUAUCUCUCAAAUUGGUCUGAGGCAAAUAGAAACUAAAGACAUCAACAUUUAUUAGCAAUGUGGGUUUAUUAAAAAAUGAAAAUAGUUAUAUGUGAGCAUACAAUCAUAUUUAAUUUUUUUACAGAAUUAAGAAUUAACACAUUAACUAAGUGAAACAUGGCAUAUGAGUUUUUUUUUAUAUCAAAAGACUAUAAUCUCUACUCUUUUUCUUCCUUUUGUAAUUAUUUUUAUUUAUUUUAAUAUUGAGAAACUGUAUGAUAAAUUUUCAGAAUCACUAGAUCACCAACUAUUUGGUACUUAAUAUUUGUGGUUUUACAUUUUCACAUAUAAAUAUAUAUAUAUAUAGCUUUUUUUGAGAUUAUUGAACCAGUCGUGUAUAAGAACUAAUAGAAAUUACCUCAGAUGAUGUUCCUCCUUUCACCCCAUGGUGAAGUUUCUCUGACUUCCCACCUUUGUCAUACUCGAACUCUAAGUAAGUGAUACGAUGAUCAUCUUGACAAACACGCACUGUCCUAACGCCAUCGAAAGAGCCAUCGUCCCAAACACGUCCCUCUGUACCACCUUGAGCAUCCAGCUUGUAAAGUGGGAAAGGCGUGGUCAGAGAGUCUAGGACAAGGUAAACUCCAAGAGCGUCAAUAGCAUUAUCCGACCGUCCAUGGAAACCUACGAUCUUCUUUCCCUCGUCCUCAAACUUGAACUUUGUACCAUUGACAACUCCGAACAAGUUUGGACCAAACGUUGGAGACGUUCUACCCUUUGAGGUCUUGAAGACGAGAGACGUGAUCACCUCCGUGGCUAUAAGAGCCACUUUGUUGUAGCUUCCCUCCACUGCUGU